CGCCUUGCCAGCCCGCUCAGAAACUUAAAUGAAUUGACGGGGCCCGCACAAGCGGCGGAGCAUGUGGAUUAAUUCGAUGCAACGCGAAGAACCUUACCUGGGUUUGACAUACACCGGAAAACCGUAGAGAUACGGUCCCCCUUGUGGUCGGUGUACAGGUGGUGCAUGGCUGUCGUCAGCUCGUGUCGUGAGAUGUUGGGUUAAGUCCCGCAACGAGCGCAACCCUUGUCUUAUGUUGCCAGCACGUGAUGGCGGGGACUCGUAAGAGACUGCCGGGGUCAACUCGGAGGAAGGUGGGGACGACGUCAAGUCAUCAUGCCCCUUAUGUCCAGGGCUUCACACAUGCUACAAUGGCCAGUACAGAGGGCUGCGAGACCGUGAGGUGGAGCGAAUCCCUUAAAGCUGGUCUCAGUUCGGAUCGGGGUCUGCAACUCGACCCCGUGAAGUCGGAGUCGCUAGUAAUCGCAGAUCAGCAACGCUGCGGUGAAUACGUUCCCGGGCCUU
rnacentral:rRNA from 1 species